rnacentral:rRNA from 1 species
UUUGGCGGUAAUAGUGUUUAGGUACCACCUGACUCCAUUCCGAACUCAGAAGUGAAACUGAAUAACGCCGAUGAUAGUGUGGCAUUCGCCAUGUGAAAGUAGGACACCGCCAAAU